UACCAGCACCCCGAGUGGUCGGGACGUUUAUUGGGCCUAAAGCAUCCGUAGCCGGUUCUACAAGUCUUCCGUUAAAUCCACCUGCUUAACAGAUGGGCUGCGGAAGAUACUAUAGAGCUAGGAGGCGGGAGAGGCAAGCCGGUACUCGAUGGGUAGGGGUAAAAUCCGUUGAUCCAUUGAAGACCACCAGUGGCGAAGGCGGCUUGCCAGAACGCGCUCGACGGUGAGGGAUGAAGCUGGGGAGCAACCGG
rnacentral:rRNA from 1 species